rnacentral:sRNA from 1 species
AAAACAUCAAAACUCAAAAAUAUCAUAUGGUGAGAACAACUGGAGCCAAAGGGCAGUCGGCUAAUUUUUCUUGACCAGCCAAACAUCUCGGUCAAAACGUCUCGAUUGAAAAGCAUCUUGUAUGGCUUACUUGGGCAUUAAACAAGCCUCCAUCUACUAUGUAAGGCCAGGCCAUAGGACAACAAGCCUCCGUUCUCCUGACAGCCUUGGCCGGUAAUUCUCGCUGUGUUGCCUGCAGAAAGGAGAGGGAAUAUCGCGGUGUCAUACCCGCUGGGACUAAGGUAGCCCAUUCUCUUAAAAAAAAAGAAAAGAAAAAGAAAAAGAAAAAGAAAAGACCCUUUUAUUUCGCCUAGGGCUUCUUCUAUCCUUAGCGGCUCUCUUACCACUUUUCGUCUUUUCGCAGCUGUCUCUUAGAUGAGGAAUCUGUGCUUGAAGAACUACACGGGUAGCUGCAUCAAGCCAUUCAU